AAUUUAUUACUACUCACCCCAGAUUUUCUUCCGAUAAAUUUUACAACUUUCUUUCACAGAUUCGAUGCCACGAGCUGUGUAAACUUUGAGCAGAUUCAUAUCACACAAAGGUUUGCUUCCUUCUAUUCAAGAACACAAUAACAUAGCUAUCACCAAUUGUUUUCACAAAACAAAAUCAAUCAAGAUGUUCAUAUGCAUGUACUUUGCAUAAUCUGAAGCAUUUAUUUCAUAAACUGAAUCAAGUUUUCUUGAAGUGAAUAAAUGAGUAGAAAAAUGUUUUUAAAUUGGAAAAAAAGGGGAAUAAUUUGCUGUCGGAUGUGGGUGACUCGAGGCAAGUCGGGGACUGAGAGGCGGCUGCGGCUUGAUUGCUGCUGCUGCUGCUGCUCGAGAGUUGAGGGAGAAACCGGCGGCGGCGGAGGCUGUUGAUUGUUGUUGUCUGUCGGUCGGGAGGAGAGAAAAUGGGCAGGGCGGUGGUCCUUGUGGGCUGCUGUUCAGCCGGUCGAUGGAGGAGGAAGGCGGCUGAGCGGCGACGCCGCUGUUACCGCGGCUGUUGUCGCCGGCAAGGGAGAGGUGCCGGGCGUCCGUUGGAGAGGAAGAAGAACAAAAAUAAAAAAUAGAGAGAGACCGAUAGAUAAGAGAGAUAGAAGGGAGAUGGGCUUGUUGAAUUAUUGUUGGGUUUAAUUAAAUGAUGAGCAUGGGCUGCAUUUUGAUGUUGAGCUUGGCACUUGUUUAUUUAG
rnacentral:lncRNA from 1 species